GCCUGGCUAGCUCAAUCGGUAGAGCGUGAGACUCUUAUAAUCUCAAGGCUGUGGGUUCAAGCCCCACGUCGGGCU
rnacentral:tRNA from 1 species